UACAGGAGGGUGCGAGUACGUUAAGUACGGUAAUUACGUGGGACGUAAAGCGUGCGUAGGUGGUUUUUUAAGCUGGAUGUGAAAGCCCCCGGGCUUAACCUGGGAACUGCAUUCAGGACUGGGAAACUCGAGUCUGGGAGAGGGUGGUGGAAUUUCCGGUGUAGCGGUGAAAUGCGUAGAUAUCGGAAGGAACAUCAGUGGCGAAGGCGACCGCCUGGCCUAAGACUGACACUGAGGCACGAAAGCGUGGGGAGCAAACAGGAUUAGAAACCCUGGUAGU
rnacentral:rRNA from 1 species